rnacentral:rRNA from 1 species
CCUACGGGAGGCAGCAGUGGGGAAUCUUGCGCAAUGGGCGAAAGCCUGACGCAGCAACGCCGCGUGCGGGAAGAAGGCUUUCGGGCUGUAAACCGCUUUCAGCAGGAACGAAAAUGACGGUACCUGCAGAAGAAGGAGCGGCCAACUAUGUGCCAGCAGCCGCGGUGAUACAUAGGCUUCAAGCGUUGUCCGGAUUUAUUGGGCGUAAAGAGUUCGUAGGCGGUCGAGUAAGUCGGGUGUGAAAAUUCUGGGCUCAACCCAGAGACGCCACCCGAUACUGCUUGACUUGAGUUCGAUAGGGGAGUGGGGAAUUCCUAGUGUAGCGGUGAAAUGCGCAGAUAUUAGGAGGAACACCGGUGGCGAAGGCGCCACUCUGGAUCGAUACUGACGCUGAGGAACGAAAGCAUGGGUAGCAAACAGGAUUAGAUACCCUGGUAGUCCAUGCCGUAAACGGUGGGCACUAGGUGUGGGUUUCUAUUAACGAAAUCCGCGCCGUCGCUAACGCAUUAAGUGCCCCGCCUGGGGAGUACGGGUCGCAAGACUAAAACUCAAAAGGAAUUGACGG